CUUCUUAUCUAACACUAAGCAAGAAAGUGCACCUCCAAAAAUGUUGAACUAUUCCUUUCAAUUUGGAUAAAGCAGUGAAUCACAAACCUUCACCAUGUUGGGUAAACUUCAGGUCUUGAGUAUAGCUUACAUUAGCUAGACAGAAGCAGUCAGUGGAGUACUGACAGUAGGAGAUUACUACAUACCAGUGCAAUGCAGGCUGCAUGUUUGCUUUCUAUAAAUACUCAACACCAGUGGAAUAUAGAUUACUGAUGAAUUACAAAUGGUCAGUCCAGUCAGAGCGACAGUACACUUCAAUCUCUUAUUGCCAAUAAACAAUGCAGCAGAUUUCUGCCGAUUAAAUGAUAUUAAAGACAUCAGAGACUUAAGUCAAACAUUAAACAAAGCAUGGGCAGCUGGGUGUGGUUGUCUGAUGUUCCUGCCCUGUCUUAAUGGAAAGUGGAGCAUCAUGGUUGGGUAUAGGUAGCAUCUGAAUCACCUUUUUAAAUGCAGGUUUAGCUGUAUAUAAUGAACUGAAUGGGUUUAGGUUGUAGUGGAUUCUGCAAGGUGUGGAAACAGGUCUAGCCUUUUUAUUGAGUCCUUUGUUGCUGGUUGUUGUUGUA